rnacentral:rRNA from 1 species
UACGGAGGGUGCGAGCGUUGUCCGGAAUCACUGGGCGUAAAGGGCGCGUAGGCGGCGCGGGUAGUCGUCGGUGAAAGCUCAGGGCUCAACCCUGAGUCGGCCGGUGAUACUCCCGUGCUCGAGCACUGUAGAGGCAGGUGGAAUUCCGGGUGGAGCGGUGAAAUGCGUAGAGAUCCGGAGGAACACCGACGGCGUAGGCAGCGCCCUGGCUGUGAAUAAAGCUGACACUGAGGCACGAAAGCUGGGGGAGCAAACAGG